UACGUAGGGGGCAAGCGUUGUCCGGAUUUACUGGGCGUAAAGAGCGCGCAGGCGGUCGAUCAAGUCGAGUGUGAAAGCCCCCGGCUCAACUGGGGAGGGUCAUUCGAUACUGAUCGACUCGAAGGCAGGAGAGGGUAGUGGAAUUCCCGGUGUAGUGGUGAAAUGCGUAGAUAUCAGGAAGAACACCAAUGGCGAAAGCAGCUCUCUGGGACGGUACUGACGCUGAGACGCGAAAGCGUGGGGAGCGAACAGG
rnacentral:rRNA from 1 species